UCUAUGACGUUAGCGGCGGACGGGUGAGUAACACGUGGGCAACCUGCCUGUAAGACUGGGAUAACUCCGGGAAACCGGAGCUAAUACCGGAUAACAUUUUCUCUUGCAUAAGAGAAAAUUGAAAGAUGGUUUCGGCUAUCACUUACAGAUGGGCCCGCGGUGCAUUAGCUAGUUGGUGAGGUAACGGCUCACCAAGGCAACGAUGCAUAGCCGACCUGAGAGGGUGAUCGGCCACACUGGGACUGAGACACGGCCCAGACUCCUACGGGAGGCAGCAGUAGGGAAUCUUCCGCAAUGGACGAAAGUCUGACGGAGCAACGCCGCGUGAGUGAUGAAGGCUUUCGGGUCGUAAAACUCUGUUGUUAGGGAAGAACAAGUACAAGAGUAACUGCUUGUACCUUGACGGUACCUAACCAGAAAGCCACGGCUAACUACGUGCCAGCAGCCGCGGUAAUACGUAGGUGGCAAGCGUUAUCCGGAAUUAUUGGGCGUAAAGCGCGCGCAGGCGGUUUCUUAAGUCUGAUGUGAAAGCCCACGGCUCAACCGUGGAGGGUCAUUGGAAACUGGGGAACUUGAGUGCAGAAGAGAAAAGCGGAAUUCCACGUGUAGCGGUGAAAUGCGUAGAGAUGUGGAGGAACACCAGUGGCGAAGGCGGCUUUUUGGUCUGUAACUGACGCUGAGGCGCGAAAGCGUGGGGAGCAAACAGA
rnacentral:rRNA from 2 species